rnacentral:rRNA from 1 species
UUUUAUUUGAGAGUUUGAUCCUGGCUCAGGAUGAACGCUGGCGGCGUGCCUAACACAUGCAAGUUGAGCGAUUUACUUCGGUAAAGAGCGGCGGACGGGUGAGUAACGCGUGGGUAACCUACCCUGUACACACGGAUAACAUACCGAAAGGUAUGCUAAUACGGGAUAAUAUAUUUGAGAGGCAUCUCUUGAAUAUCAAAGGUGAGCCAGUACAGGAUGGACCCGCGUCUGAUUAGCUAGUUGGUAAGGUAACGGCUUACCAAGGCGACGAUCAGUAGCCGACCUGAGAGGGUGAUCGGCCACAUUGGAACUGAGACACGGUCCAAACUCCUACGGGAGGCAGCAGUGGGGAAUAUUGCCCAAUGGGCGAAAGCCUGAUGCAGCAACGCCGCGUGAGUGAUGAAGGCCUUCGGGUCGUAAAACUCU